rnacentral:rRNA from 1 species
AGAGACAGCAGUCGCCGCGGGAAUACGAAGGGUGCAAGCGUUAAUCGGAAUUACUGGGCGUAAAGCGCGCGUAGGUGGUUCAUUAAGUUGGAUGUGAAAGCCCUGGGCUCAACCUGGGAACUGCAUCCAAAACUGGUGAGCUAGAGUACGGUAGAGGGUAGUGGAAUUUCCUGUGUAGCGGUGAAAUGCGUAGAUAUAGGAAGGAACACCAGUGGCGAAGGCGACUACCUGGACUGAUACUGACACUGAGGUGCGAAAGCGUGGGGAGCAAACAGGAUUAGAUACCCGGGUAGUCCCUGUCUCUUAUAC